rnacentral:rRNA from 1 species
GACGAACGCUGGCGGCGUGCUUAACACAUGCAAGUCGAACGGAAAGGCCCUGCUUGCUGGGUACUCGAGUGGCCAACGGGUGGGUAACACGUGGGUGCUCUGCCCUGCACUUCGGGAUAAGCCUGGGCAACUGGGUCUAAUACCGGAUAGGAGCUAUUUUUAGCGUGAUGGUUGGAAAGUUUUUUCGGUGUAGGGUGAGCUCGCGGGCUAUCAGCUUGUUGGUGGGGUAAUGGCCUACCAAGGCGGCGACGGGUAGCCGGCCUGAGAGGGUGGACGGCCACAUUGGGACUGAGAGACGGCCCAGACUCCGACUGGAGGCAGCAGUGGGGAAUAUUGCACAAUGGGCGCAAGCCUGAUGCAGCGACGCCGCGUGGGGGAUGACGGCCUUCGGGUUGAAAACUACUUUCGCUAGGGACGAAGCUUUUUGUGACGGUACCUAGAGAAGAAGCACCGGCUAACUACGUG